rnacentral:rRNA from 1 species
CCUACGGGAGGCAGCAGUGAGGAAUAUUGGUCAAUGGGCGGAAGCCUGAACCAGCCAAGUCGCGUGAGGGAAUAAGGCCCUACGGGUCGUAAACCUCUUUUGCCGGGGAGCAAGGGCGGGGACGUGUGCCGGCCCGGAGAGUACCCGGAGAAAAAGCAUCGGCUAACUUCGUGCCAGCAGCCGCGGUAAUACGGAGGAUGCGAGCGUUAUCCGGAUUUUUUGGGUUUAAAGGGUGCGUAGGCGGGCUUUUAAGUCGGCGGUAAAAUUUCGGGGGUCAACCCUGACCGGUCGUUGAAACUGGGGGCCUUGAGUGGGCGAGAAGAAGGCGGAAUGCGUGGUGUAGCGGUGAAAUGCAUAGAUAUCACGCAGAACCCCGAUUGCGAAGGCAGCCUUCCGGCGCCCUACUGACGCUGAGGCACGAAAGUGCGGGGAUCGAACAGGAUUAGAUACCCUUGUAGUC